AGCAGCCGCGGUAAUUCCAGCUCCAAUAGCGUAUACUAAAGUUGUUGCAGUUAAAAAGCUCGUAGUUGAACCUUGGGCCUGGCUGGCCGGUCCGCCUCACCGCGUGCACUGGAUCCGGCCGGGCCUUUCCUCCCGGGGAACCGCAUGCCCUUCACUGGGCGUGUCGAGGAACCGGGACGUUUACUUUGAAAAAAUUAGAGUGUUCAAAGCAGGCCUUCGCUCGGAUACAUUAGCAUGGAAUAAUAGAAUAGGACGCUGCGGUUCUAUUUUGUUGGUUUCUAGAACCGCCGUAAUGAUUAAUAGGGACAGUCGGGGAGACUGGUAUUCAAUUGUCAGAGGUGAAAUUCUUGGAUUUAUUGAAGACCAACUACUGCGAAAGCAUUUCUCAAGGAUGUUUUCAUUAAUUAGUGAACGAAAGUUAGGUGAUCGAAGACGAUCAGAUACCGUCGUAGUCUUAACCAUAAACCGUG
rnacentral:rRNA from 1 species